rfam:Triticum aestivum genome assembly, contig: Triticum_aestivum_CS42_TGACv1_scaffold_000368_1AL
CAGAUACUCCAUUCGUCUGAAAAUAUUUGUCAUCAAGAUGAAUAAAAAGAGUUGUAUCUAAAUGUAUUUUAGUUCUAAAUAUACUUUUUUUAUCUAUUUUGAUGACAAGUAUUUCUGGAUGGAAGGAGUACAUC